GCAGCCGCCGGCGGGAAUACAGAGGGUGCGAGCGUUAAUCGGAUUUACUGGGCGUAAAGCGUGCGUAGGCGGCUUCUUAAGUCGGAUGUGAAAUCCCUGAGCUUAACUUAGGAAUUGCAUUCGAUACUGGGAAGCUAGAGUAUGGGAGAGGAUGGUAGAAUUCCAGGUGUAGCGGUGAAAUGCGUAGAGAUCUGGAGGAAUACCGAUGGCGAAGGCAGCCAUCUGGCCUAAUACUGACGCUGAGGUACGAAAGCAUGGGGAGCAAACAGGAUUAGAGACCCCAGUAGUCCCUGUCUCUUAUA
rnacentral:rRNA from 1 species